rnacentral:rRNA from 1 species
AUUGAACGCUGGCGGCAGGCCUAACACAUGCAAGUCGAGCGAGCGGCGGACGGGUGAGUAAUGUAUGGGGCUCUGCCCGAGAGAGGGGGAUAACUACUGGGAACGGUGGCUAAUACCGCCUACUAUCGGCUGAACCCAUUUGGGAUUGGCUAGUAGGUGGGGUAAAGGCACACCUAGGCGACGAUCUCUUGCUGGUCUGAGAGGAUGAUCAGCCACACUGGAACUGAGACACGGCCCAGACUCCUACGGGAGGCAGCAGUGGGGAAUAUUCGACAAUGGGCGAAAGUCUGACCCAGCAACGCCGCGUGAGUGAAGAAGGUUUUCGGAUUGUAAAGCACUGUUGUUAGGGAAGCGGUAUCUAAAGAGUAAGCCCCGGCUAACUACGUGCCAGCAGCCGCGGUAAUAC